UUGCCUCUAGUAGUGUGUUCUAACAGGCUUAUAGGUGUGCUAGCCUUCUCCAUUGCUGGCCAUGCCCACAUCCUUCCAUUGCUCUUUCAAUUUCCGUAUCCCCCCUAAACCUCUUAUGUGUACUUAUCUCCCUCUCAUUUCCCCUUUUCCCCUCUCAGAAGUCUGCUUUUGCACUUGCACUCUCUCUUAUUCUCUAAGUUCAGCCCCCCUCUUGUUAGCCUUGCCUUGGGACCUUUGAGUUCUCUCUGAACUUGGACACUUGAGGGCUGGCCUUUCCACACUACACUUUUCCUAAUCUGAUAAUGUAUUUGGAUGUGAGCGCUGCCCAGAAUAACCUUUGAGGCUCUUAGGGAACUUUGACACAUCCAUAUGGGAGAAAGGCUUUGGAUCAUAAUCUCCUGGAGAUGGUUUAC
rnacentral:lncRNA from 1 species